UACGUAGGUGGCAAGCGUUGUCCGGAUUUACUGGGCGUAAAGAGCGCGCAGGCGGUCGUUCAAGUCGCGUGUGAAAGCCCCCGGCUCAACUGGGGAGGGUCACGCGAUACUGAUCGACUCGAAGGCAGGAGAGGGUAGUGGAAUUCCCGGUGUAGUGGUGAAAUGCGUAGAUAUCGGGAGGAACACCUGUGGCGAAAGCGGCUCACUGGCUCGUAACUGACGCUCAUGCACGACAGCGUGGGGAUCAAACAGG
rnacentral:rRNA from 1 species